rnacentral:tRNA from 1 species
GUUGAUAUAGUUCAAUUGGAUAGAAUAAUUGACUACGGAUCAAUAGGCUGUAGGUUCAAGUCCUACUAUCAACU